UAGAGUUUGAUCAUGGCUCAGAUUGAACGCUGGCGGCAGGCCUAACACAUGCAAGUCGAGCGGAAACGACACUAACAAUCCUUCGGGUGCGUUAAUGGGCGUCGAGCGGCGGACGGGUGAGUAAUGCCUAGGAAAUUGCCUUGAUGUGGGGGAUAACCAUUGGAAACGAUGGCUAAUACCGCAUAAUGCCUACGGGCCAAAGAGGGGGACCUUCGGGCCUCUCGCGUCAAGAUAUGCCUAGGUGGGAUUAGCUAGUUGGUGAGGUAAUGGCUCACCAAGGCGACGAUCCCUAGCUGGUCUGAGAGGAUGAUCAGCCACACUGGAACUGAGACACGGUCCAGACUCCUACGGGAGGCAGCAGUGGGGAAUAUUGCACAAUGGGCGAAAGCCUGAUGCAGCCAUGCCGCGUGUAUGAAGAAGGCCUUCGGGUUGUAAAGUACUUUCAGUUGUGAGGAAGGGUGUGUAGUUAAUAGCUGCGCAUCUUGACGUUAGCAACAGAAGAAGCACCGGCUAACUCCGUGCCAGCAGCCGCGGUAAUACGGAGGGUGCGAGCGUUAAUCGGAAUUACUGGGCGUAAAGCGCAUGCAGGUGGUUCAUUAAGUCAGAUGUGAAAGCCCGGGGCUCAACCUCGGAACUGCGUUUGAAACUGGUGAACUAGAGUGCUGUAGAGGGGAGUAGAAUUUCA
rnacentral:rRNA from 1 species